rnacentral:rRNA from 1 species
AAGGGCACCACAAGAACGCGUGGAGCAUGUGGCUUAAUUUGACUCAACGCGGGAAAUCUUACCGGGUCCGGACACACUGAGGAUUGACAGGCAAUAUUAAUACGUUUUGCUUCGGCAAUCGUAUUAUGUUAAAUAUGCUAGUCCUUUCAUGAUUAUGUGAUAGGUGGUGCAUGGCCGUUCUUAGUUCGUGGAGUGAUCUGUCUGCUUAAUUGCGUUUCACUAAGGGCCUAUAAAUUUACGUAUGUUGCAUCGCACUUUGACCCCUUUCUUUAAUUAGAGAGCGCGCGUCUUAGUUUCCGCUUUGCUCAUACAAUUAGGUCCUGAAAGCAACGAACGUGACCGCAACCUCCUGUUGCCUUUAUACCAAACAUGUUUUGCGUCAAUUUUCGAAUUGCGCGCAUUUGAUGAAAAAAGGCUUUUUAAACUAGAGGGACCGCUGUUACUUUCUUAAACCAGAGGAAGGUUGCGGCAAUAACAGGUCUGUGAUGCCCUUAGAUGUUCCGGGCUGCACACGUGCUACAAUGAUUAUUGCAGUGAGCAUCUCAUUUUUACACACCGCAUGCGCGAGUCCAUUUAUUCACCUUCGGGUGUUUUAAAUGUGUAUCUCUGCGCGCGGUAAAGCCUGCUUCGACAGUAAGUGGGUAAUCAAUUAGAAGUAAUGAUUUCCUUUUUUUUAGCACACAUAUAUACGGCGUCUAUGCCCGGGCUACCUUGUUGUAGCUUUUGUGCGUAUAGAUGUUUUUUCCGUAUGUGCGAUUGUCAAUUCAUGGUGGGGACAGACCAUUGUUAAUUGUUGGUCUCGGUCUUAACUAGGAAUGCCUUGUACGGGUCUUUGGUUCAACAAACCACCCGGAAUACGUCCCUGCCCUUUGUACACACCGCCCGUCGCUCUUACCGAUGGACUUCUCUGUGAGUUUGAGGGACUGGGGACGCAGAAAUUUAUUUCUGCACACCUAUGGAAACUUAAACGAACAGUGUGGUCUAAAGGAAAGAGAAGUGUAACAAGGCA